GGGUUGUGAGGUUAAGCGACUAAGCGUACACGGUGGAUGCCCUGGCAGUCAGAGGCGAUGAAGGACGUGCUAAUCUGCGAUAAGCGUCGGUAAGGUGAUAUGAACCGUUAUAACCGGCGAUUUCCGAAUGGGGAAACCCAGUGUGUUUCGACACACUAUCAUUAACUGAAUCCAUAGGUUAAUGAGGCGAACCGGGGGAACUGAAACAUCUAAGUACCCCGAGGAAAAGAAAUCAACCGAGAUUCCCCCAGUAGCGGCGAGCGAACGGGGAGCAGCCCAGAGCCUGAAUCAGUGUGUGUGUUAGUGGAAGCGUCUGGAAAGGCGCGCGAUACAGGGUGACAGCCCCGUACACAAAAAUGCACAUGCUGUGAGCUCGAUGAGUAGGGCGGGACACGUGGUAUCCUGUCUGAAUAUGGGGACCAUCCUCCAAGGCUAAAUACUCCUGACUGACCGAUAGUGAACCAGUACCGUGAGGGAAAGGCGAAAAGAACCCCGGCGAGGGGAGUGAAAAAGAACCUGAAACCGUGUACGUACAAGCAGUGGGAGCACGCUUAGGCGUGUGACUGCGUACCUUUUGUAUAAUGGGUCAGCGACUUAUAUUCUGUAGCAAGGUUAACCGAAUAGGGGAGCCGAAGGGAAACCGAGUCUUAACUGGGCGUUAAGUUGCAGGGUAUAGACCCGAAACCCGGUGAUCUAGCCAUGGGCAGGUUGAAGGUUGGGUAACACUAACUGGAGGACCGAACCGACUAAUGUUGAAAAAUUAGCGGAUGACUUGUGGCUGGGGGUGAAAGGCCAAUCAAACCGGGAGAUAGCUGGUUCUCCCCGAAAGCUAUUUAGGUAGCGCCUCGUGAAUUCAUCUCCGGGGGUAGAGCACUGUUUCGGCAAGGGGGUCAUCCCGACUUACCAACCCGAUGCAAACUGCGAAUACCGGAGAAUGUUAUCACGGGAGACACACGGCGGGUGCUAACGUCCGUCGUGAAGAGGGAAACAACCCAGACCGCCAGCUAAGGUCCCAAAGUCAUGGUUAAGUGGGAAACGAUGUGGGAAGGCCCAGACAGCCAGGAUGUUGGCUUAGAAGCAGCCAUCAUUUAAAGAAAGCGUAAUAGCUCACUGGUCGAGUCGGCCUGCGCGGAAGAUGUAACGGGGCUAAACCAUGCACCGAAGCUGCGGCAGCGACGCUUAUGCGUUGUUGGGUAGGGGAGCGUUCUGUAAGCCUGCGAAGGUGUGCUGUGAGGCAUGCUGGAGGUAUCAGAAGUGCGAAUGCUGACAUAAGUAACGAUAAAGCGGGUGAAAAGCCCGCUCGCCGGAAGACCAAGGGUUCCUGUCCAACGUUAAUCGGGGCAGGGUGAGUCGACCCCUAAGGCGAGGCCGAAAGGCGUAGUCGAUGGGAAACAGGUUAAUAUUCCUGUACUUGGUGUUACUGCGAAGGGGGGACGGAGAAGGCUAUGUUGGCCGGGCGACGGUUGUCCCGGUUUAAGCGUGUAGGCUGGUUUUCCGUGCAAAUCCGGAAAAUCAAGGCUGAGGCGUGAUGACGAGGCACUACGGUGCUGAAGCAACAAAUGCCCUGCUUCCAGGAAAAGCCUCUAAGCAUCAGGUAACAUCAAAUCGUACCCCAAACCGACACAGGUGGUCAGGUAGAGAAUACCAAGGCGCUUGAGAGAACUCGGGUGAAGGAACUAGGCAAAAUGGUGCCGUAACUUCGGGAGAAGGCACGCUGAUAUGUAGGUGAGGUCCCUCGCGGAUGGAGCUGAAAUCAGUCGAAGAUACCAGCUGGCUGCAACUGUUUAUUAAAAACACAGCACUGUGCAAACACGAAAGUGGACGUAUACGGUGUGACGCCUGCCCGGUGCCGGAAGGUUAAUUGAUGGGGUUAGCGCAAGCGAAGCUCUUGAUCGAAGCCCCGGUAAACGGCGGCCGUAACUAUAACGGUCCUAAGGUAGCGAAAUUCCUUGUCGGGUAAGUUCCGACCUGCACGAAUGGCGUAAUGAUGGCCAGGCUGUCUCCACCCGAGACUCAGUGAAAUUGAACUCGCUGUGAAGAUGCAGUGUACCCGCGGCAAGACGGAAAGACCCCGUGAACCUUUACUAUAGCUUGACACUGAACAUUGAGCCUUGAUGUGUAGGAUAGGUGGGAGGCUUUGAAGUGUGGACGCCAGUCUGCAUGGAGCCGACCUUGAAAUACCACCCUUUAAUGUUUGAUGUUCUAACGUUGACCCGUAAUCCGGGUUGCGGACAGUGUCUGGUGGGUAGUUUGACUGGGGCGGUCUCCUCCUAAAGAGUAACGGAGGAGCACGAAGGUUGGCUAAUCCUGGUCGGACAUCAGGAGGUUAGUGCAAUGGCAUAAGCCAGCUUGACUGCGAGCGUGACGGCGCGAGCAGGUGCGAAAGCAGGUCAUAGUGAUCCGGUGGUUCUGAAUGGAAGGGCCAUCGCUCAACGGAUAAAAGGUACUCCGGGGAUAACAGGCUGAUACCGCCCAAGAGUUCAUAUCGACGGCGGUGUUUGGCACCUCGAUGUCGGCUCAUCACAUCCUGGGGCUGAAGUAGGUCCCAAGGGUAUGGCUGUUCGCCAUUUAAAGUGGUACGCGAGCUGGGUUUAGAACGUCGUGAGACAGUUCGGUCCCUAUCUGCCGUGGGCGCUGGAGAACUGAGGGGGGCUGCUCCUAGUACGAGAGGACCGGAGUGGACGCAUCACUGGUGUUCGGGUUGUCAUGCCAAUGGCACUGCCCGGUAGCUAAAUGCGGAAGAGAUAAGUGCUGAAAGCAUCUAAGCACGAAACUUGCCCCGAGAUGAGUUCUCCCUGACCCUUUAAGGGUCCUGAAGGAACGUUGAAGACGACGACGUUGAUAGGCCGGGUGUGUAAGCGCAGCGAUGCGUUGAGCUAACCGGUACUAAUGAACCGUGAGGCUUAACCUUACAACGCCGAAGCUGUU
rnacentral:rRNA from 1 species